rnacentral:rRNA from 1 species
GAAUAUUGGACAAUGGGGGGAACCCUGAUCCAGCCAUGCCGCGUGUGUGAAGAAGGCCUUUUGGUUGUAAAGCACUUUAAGCGAGGAGGAGGCUACUCUAGUUAAUACCUAGGGAUAGUGGACGUUACUCGCAGAAUAAGCACCGGCUACCUCUGUGCCAUCCGCCGCGGUAAUACCGCGGGUGCAAGCGUUAAUUGGAUUUACUGGGCGUAAAGGGGGCGUAGGUUGCCAAAUAAGUUAAAUGUGAAAUCCCCGGGCUUAACUUGGGAAUUGCAUUUGGUACUGGUUGGGUAGGGGAUGGGGGAGGAUGGGAGGAUUUCCGGGGGAGGGGGUAAAUGGGGAGAGAUCUGGAGGAAUACCGGUGGGGAAGGCAGCCAUCUGGCCUAAUACUGACACUGAGGUGCGAAAGCAUGGGGAGCAAACAG